CCUACGGGUGGCAGCAGUGGGGAAUAUUGGACAAUGGGCGAAAGCCUGAUCCAGCCAUGCCGCGUGUGUGAAGAAGGCCUUCGGGUUGUAAAGCACUUUCAGUGGGGAAGAAAGCCUUGGGGCUAAUACCCUCGAGGAAGGACAUCACCCACAGAAGAAGCACCGGCUAACUCCGUGCCAGCAGCCGCGGUAAUACGGAGGGUGCGAGCGUUAAUCGGAAUUACUGGGCGUAAAGCGCGCGUAGGCGGUCUGAUAAGCCGGUUGUGAAAGCCCCGGGCUCAACCUGGGAACAGCAUCCGGAACUGUCAGGCUAGAGUGCAGGAGAGGAAGGUAGAAUUCCCGGUGUAGCGGUGAAAUGCGUAGAGAUCGGGAGGAAUACCAGUGGCGAAGGCGGCCUUCUGGACUGACACUGACGCUGAGGUGCGAAAGCGUGGGUAGCAAACAGGAUUAGAUACCCCAGUAGUC
rnacentral:rRNA from 1 species